ensembl:lncRNA
AGCAGAGCCUGGUGGGGAUAGGCACCGAUUCUGAUAGGCUGCCUGGGCUCAGAUUCCAGCUCCACUGCUUCCCAGAUACAGGGCUUUGAGCAAGUUAAUUUCAGGUUUCUCGUCUGCAAAAUGGGGAGAGUAAUACCUACCUGAGAGGAUGAAGGAAUCCAGAGGAUUUCCAUAAUUCCUGGGUUGCUCUCAAUGCGUGAGUCCUUAGGUGACAAGAGCUUUAUUAUCUGAUCGCUUAUCACCCUACUCCCUGUAACUUCUCACAGCUUUGAGGCUAGAAUUCACUGCAUAUACAACUAGAAGAUUCUGGAAAUAAGGGUAAGGGAUACAUAUGCUUUCAACCUGAUUUGACAAACACCACCUGGACUGGCCUCUUCAAAGCAAGCAGAAGGCAAAGAAGCAGGAAGCAACUGGUUAGAAAUAACAGACCCAUUCCCGGGGUGUCGGCCUGAUGAGUCUGGACCAUGGCCCAGUACAAUUCGCUGCAAGAAGUACGUUAUCAUGGUUGAGCAAUCAUCGUAUCUACGCAGCUCCAGAGCCCUUCCAUCCUCCCAAACUGAAGCUCUGUUCCCAUUAAACCAUAGCCUCCCAUUACCACUUCCCAGUCCCUGGUAACCAUCACUGUGCUUUCUGUCUCUGUGAGUUUGACUAUUCCAGGUACCUCAUGUAAAUGGAAUCAUAUAAUGUUUGUCAUUUACUGCUUGGCUUCUUUCCCUGAAGCACGUUUUCAGUGUUCAUCCAUAUUGCAGCAUGUGUCUGACUUUUACUUCAAGACUGAAUAAUAUUCCAUUGUAUAUAUGUACCACAUUUGUUUAUCCAUUCAUCUGUUGAUGCAUGUUGGGUUGUUUCUACAUCUGGGGCUAAUGAAAAUAACACUGUUAAAAACACUGAUCCAAAUAUCUGAGUCCCUCCUUUCGGUUCUUUUGGGUAAAUGCUCAAAGGUGGCAUUGGGUCAUAAAGUAGUUUCAUUUUCUGAGAAAACUCCAUAUGAUUUUGCACAACACCUGCACCAUUUUAUAUUCCCACCAGCAAUGCAUAAGGGUUCCAGUUUCUCCACAUCCUCACCAUACUUACGAUUCUCUCUUUUUUAUUCAAUUGUCACUGUAAUGAGUGUAAAAUGAUACUUCAUUAUGGCUUAGAUUUGCAUUUUCCUGAUGAUUAGUGAUGCGUGGGCCCUGUAUGUUUUUGUUUAUGAUGUGUCUCUCUGUAUCAGUUUGUCUUUUUUUUUUUUAAGAGCUCCUUCUACAAUGAUUUUGUUAUAAAUAUGUUCUUUUGGAAUAAACAAAUAUUGUCUUCAAGACUAUCAGCAAACUUGUUCUAAAGUAUCAAAAGAGUAUAAAAUAGAUAACUAAGGAGAACCUACUGUUUGGCACAGGGAACUCUACUCAAUGCUCUGUGAUAACCUAAACGGGAGGGAAAUCCCAAAAAGAGGGGCUAUAGGUAUAUGUGCAGCUGAUCCACUUUGUUGUACAGUAGACACUAACAUUGUAAAGCAAUUAUAUUCCAAUAAAAUUAAUUAAAAAAAAUAAAGUAUCAACAGAGGAAAAGAUAGAACCGAGAACCACUCAGAGGUAGAGAUAAAUAGCAAAGACACCUGCAUGGCAUACUGAGUGCCUUUCCCUAAAAAAGAGGAAGAGUUAACAGGAGGUUAACAGUGAAUAUGAUAUUUCUCAUUAGCCUAUUAAUUACAAUAAGUUUUGAUUUUUGCUAAUUUGCACUUGUUCUGUAAACUGAACUGCUCCUGUCCUCAGUACUAAGGAGUAGAAGACGCUCAGUCUCAGCAUGGUCCCAGCACAAACAAGAAAGAUCUUGACUCUUAACUCUCUGUUCUAGGACAAAACCGUUCACCACUCUUAGUGUAGUCCACUCACCAGGGGGUGCUUUUGACUUGGUGGGCAGGUAUAGCUCCCCUGUUUCUUUCCAGGAGGAUUUCAUGCACCUCAGUUAUUUUUUGACAGUUUCGAGGAGGCAAUUCAGCUAUAGGCACAUCAUUCCAUCCCUUUAUUUAUUUAUUUAAAUUUAAUUUUCAUUUUAUAUUGGGGUAUAGUUGGUUUACAGGGGCUUACCAGGUGGCUCAGUGGUAAAGAAUCUGCCUGCCAAGCAGGAGAUGCAGAUUCAAUUCCUGGGUUGGGAAGAUCCCCUGGAGGAGGGCAUAGCAACCCUCUUCAGGAUUCUUGCCUGGAGAAUCCCAUGGACAGAGGAGCCUGGCAGUUUAUAGUUCAUGGGGUCUCAAGGAGUCGGACAUAACUUAGUAACGAAGGGACGACGAUGAGUUGGCUUACGAAGCGUUAGUUUCAGGCUACAGCAAAGUGAUUCAGUUAUAAAUAAACAUAUAUCCACUCUUUUUCAUAUUCUUCUCCUAUGUGGUUACAACAGAAUAUUGAGUAGAGUUCCCUAUGCUAUAUGGUAAUUCCCAAAGAAAACAUAUACCACCCAUUUCCUGCCCUUUGCUCUUUCUCUUUAAGUACGAUCAUUAGGGUAGGCCUCUACCUGGUUCGGCAGCAGCAGCCACCUGCUUCAGCCAGCAGGAAAGACGAUGAGAUGGGCUGACCAGCUUCUGACAGGUAGACAAUUAACCCCCAAGCUCAGCUCCGAGAUGCACCUGUGUAUCACUGCAAAGCGAAGAAGCUCAAAUGUGUGUCUGGGCAACAUCGCACAGAGGAGACCGAACCACACAGCAAAUUUAUGACAAGGACAAACGCCUGCAUUUAGGCCGUGCUCGGGAAAACUGAGGAGUUGCAGUACGAUGGUGGAGCUGCAGAAAUCACGUAUUAGUGGAAGAGGGCAGAGUUGGUUAAAAAUAGUUUUAGAUGUCCAGGGAGCCAGAAUUCGGGUGGGAGCUUGACAGUUGCCACAUGUCAGCUCUUUAGAAGCUGCUUUCAAAGAUGUGUUGCAGAACAGAGAUUUCUUUCCUAUGGCAAGUUAGCUCGAGGAGAAAUUUCUGGACAGAACUGUGAUUUGUAUUAACCUGAAGACAACCCUUACUAACAAUAAGAUUCUGUUUUGUGGGAGCCUCAGCCAGAACUAGAAUCUGCCUG